rnacentral:rRNA from 1 species
GGGUUGUGAGGUUAAGCGACUAAGCGUACACGGUGGAUGCCCUGGCAGUCAGAGGCGAUGAAGGACGUGCUAAUCUGCGAUAAGCGCCGGUAAGGUGAUAUGAACCGUUAUAACCGGCGAUUUCCGAAUGGGGAAACCCAGUGUGACUCGUCACACUAUCAUUAACUGAAUCCAUAGGUUAAUGAGGCGAACCGGGGGAACUGAAACAUCUAAGUACCCCGAGGAAAAGAAAUCAACCGAGAUUCCCCCAGUAGCGGCGAGCGAACGGGGAGGAGCCCAGAGCCUGAAUCAGCAUGUGUGUUAGUGGAAGCGUCUGGAAAGGCGCGCGAUACAGGGUGACAGCCCCGUACACAAAAGCGCAUGUGCUGUGAGCUCGAUGAGUAGGGCGGGACACGUGGUAUCCUGUCUGAAUAUGGGGGGACCAUCCUCCAAGGCUAAAUACUCCUGACU